rfam:Perkinsus marinus ATCC 50983 gcontig_1104296756160, whole genome shotgun sequence.
AUCCUUGCGGGAGGGGCAAUAGCGCUAUCUAUGACGCCUUGCGGAGAUGCGCUUUUUGCUAGUUGAAAACUACUCCAAUUCCCGUCGCGAGAUCCUAACGGAUCCCGUCGCAAUUUUUAGGGCGCCUCGCAUGAGG